rnacentral:rRNA from 1 species
UACGUAGGGUGCAAGCGUUGUCCGGAAUUAUUGGGCGUAAAGAGCUCGUAGGCGGUCUGUCGCGUCGGAUGUGAAAAUCCAGGGCUCAACCCUGGACCUGCAUUCGAUACGGGCAGACUAGAGUUCGGUAGGGGAGACUGGAAUUCCUGGUGUAGCGGUGAAAUGCGCAGAUAUCAGGAGGAACACCAAUGGCGAAGGCAGCUCGCUGGGACGUGACUGACGCUGAGACGCGAAAGCGUGGGGAGCAAACAGG